GUAUUUAUUUCCCUAAUUUUAUAAACAUUUAAUAGGUCCUUAUUAAACACAUCAGCCAGCAUGAUUUAAUAACACAAUCAGUCUAGAAGUUUAAGAAAAUUGAAAACAGGAUUUGAAUGUAACGCAGCCACAAUUACUGGAGCUUAUAGGGAAUCAUUCCCAUAUGUCUCCAGUGGAGAGCUGCUAAUCUCUGUUUGCGUGGAGGUGAUUUCCUUUGGAACCCUGCCCAGCCUUCAACAGCACUAGGGCUGAACAAAUUAGAUUUGAAAGUCCCCAAUUUUAUGACUAAGGUAAUAUACUCUGUGUAUUUAGAGAAACACUAAGUUCCUAUUUUCACUGGCUCUCAAAUGCUGGACAGAGACCUUGAUUUCAUUUAGUUUGGCUCCACUUAGAAUAUGGUCAUAGGUCUGAAGGAGUCCGCAUAUGUUUUUGUGUGACUUUCAUAGAUAUUCUAACUCCUCUCCACCCACAAUGCUGAGGCGUUUGCAUCAUGGCUUGGUGACGACAGAUCUCAGGAAUGUGCUGCAAUUAGACCUGGAAGACAGCCGGCUUCUAAGGGCCUGGGGACUCCCACCUUCCUCUACUAAACUUUUGCGCCUCCAUCUCAUUCCCUGUCCUUGGCUCAUGGUACCCUCCAAGUGGCUUUUCUUAUGCUCAGAGAAUAGCAACCUGGGAAACUAGGCUGUGGUUUUCUCUUUCUUAGGGAGCUUCUGGAAGAGGUGAACUCUGCAAAGAGACAGAUUGUCUUGAUUCUGGGUAAAGCAGCAAGGACCAGUGGGCUGACGAUGGAAGUCCUGGGGAGUGCAAUAUUAGGAACAAACCCGGAAGCCACAUUUCUAUUCAUAUUAGCUUGAAAUUGGGCUGGAUGGUCUCCCCCUUGAUGUUCCCCUCCCAUCCUGCCUCCUGUUUUUAUAGAAUGAGUGAAAUAUAAUAACAAUGACUCCCAAUUCCUGAGCACUUACUAUAUGCUAGCACAUUAUGAUAUGGCCAGCUUUAAGCUUCACAAUAACUGAAUAAGAUCAGUAUUAUCAACCACACCUUACAGAGAAAGAAACUGAGAUUCUGUUGACUUUGGAAGCUUCCUGUGGUCUCAGCAAAGCAAAGAUUCAAACCCAGAGGGCAUUGAUUUAGAACUUCCUCUUCUUUCUUUCUUUCUUUCUUUCUUUCUUUCUUUCUUUCUUUCUUUCUUUCUUUCUUUCUUUCUGUCUCUCUCUCUCUCUCUCUCUCUCUCUCUCUCUCUCUUCUCUUUCUUUCUUUCUUUCAUGAUACUUUAUGUUCCGGGGUACAUUUGCAGAACGUGCAGGUUUGUUAGACAGGUACACACAUGCCAUGGUGGUUUGCUGCACCCAUCACCCUGUCAUCUACAUUAGGUAUUUCUCCUAAUGCUAUCGUUCCCCUAGCCCCUCACUUCCCCCGCAGGCCCAAGUGUGUGAUGCUCCCCUCCCUGCGUCCGUGUGUUCUCAUUGUUCAACUCCCACUUGUGAGUGAGGACAUGCGGUGUUUGGUUUUCUGUUCCUGUGUCAAUUUGCUGAGAAUGAUGGUUUCCAGCUUUAUCCAUGUCCCUGCAAAGGACAUAAACUCAUCCUUUUUAUGGUUUCACGGUAUUCCAUGGUGUAUAUAUGCCACAUUUUCUUUAUCCAGUCUAUCAUUGAUGGGCAUUUGGGUUGGUUCCAAGUCUUUGCUAUUGUGAACAGUGCUGGAAUAAACGUACGUGUGCAUGUGUCUUUAUAGUAGAAUGAGAUACAAUCCUAUUCUUAAUUGCUAUUUUGAGUCUGUUGCUUCCAACAAUGGUAAAGAUAAUGAGAGGACAACAAUGCCUUAUGUGUGCAUGAAAAGGAAGUGUACCUUUUCCUAGACAGCUUUCCACUCAAUUCAAGAUUCUAGUUUGUUUCCUCCUGGCAACUUCCCUUUACAAUGUGCUUUUGGCUUUUGAAGACCUAGAAGCAACAAGAGGAGGAAAAGGUAAAUGGCUAGAGGAAGAACUCUGGGUAACGCUUAAGAGAAAUGUUGAGCAGCCUGCAGAGAAGGAAAGAAAAUGCGAUUUCACAGUUCUUGAGUUAAAACUUAUUUAGGAUUUACCAUAUGCCAGGCACUAUUCUAAGCACCUUUCUUCUAUUUCCCUUCAUUUUAAUCCUCCCAACAAUCCUGUGAGGUAGUUCUAUCUCAGAGUAAUCCUAUUUUACCCACAUUAAGUAACUUGUUCAAAGUGACCCAGCUAGUAAAUGGCACACCGGGAUUUACACCCAGGCAUUCUGGGUCUAGUGCCAACCCUCACCACGGUGCUAAGACAUUGUGUAUCAACUAGUCCUUCAUUCGGUGAAAUGCAAGGAGGGAACUCAUGUUGCUUUUAGGUUGGUUUUUGCUUGCUGAACCAUAUAUAUUUGACCUCCUUUGAGCCCCUUGCCUGAAGCCCUCAGGUUUUUCUAAGCAGGUGGGAUUGAAACCCUUAAGUUAUCGAGUUGACUUCACAACCUAGGACCACAUCCUCCUCCCCACCGCAUGCAUGCCACCUCAAUCAUAUGUGUUCAACUCAGUCACAAGCAUCUUCAUUAACAUUUAUUAAGAUUAUAUGUGCUGAGCUUUAAAAUAAAAUGGAACCACUUUGAAACUUUUAGGCAAACAAGAACACCAGAAACCUACAUUCACCCUCCAUUCUAGCCAGGGAUUUGAGGCUCCCCUAAUGGCAGAAUGUUUGAACUCCCAGCCAAUCACUAGUUUUUUUAGUCAGUGCAAAUAGACUUUUCUUUUUUUCAUUUCUUUAAUCUAGAGCAAUCAUUGCUCAACUCUAGCAUGUGUAAGAAUUGCUGUAGAUCACUGAAUGCGCUAAACAAAAGGGUAUCUUCUGAACAUGACGGGCAAGGAGGACUCCGCCUCCCCUGCAGAUGCCAGGUGAGAGCACUGGGUGAGUUGACUCAGUGACCCACAAUGCUUUUUCGGAAGCGGAGGUGACAUUUCCAGCCAAAACACUGCAUUGUACAGUUAGUUAGUCUUCUUUGAAUGUAUUUCUUUGUGUGUGUGUGUGGAGUGGCUUUUUUUUGAGGCUUUUGAAGUGCCUCAACCACCUCCUUCCCCAGUUACAACCAACUCUGGGAGGUCACCAGUCCAGGUCCUUGCCCCAGAAGGCAUGUGAAAGUAAAUUAAAAUGGAGCCCAGGCCUGAAGAAUCCCUGAGCAGACCAAGCCAGGUAGGCCUCAUCAGUGAGUUUAAACCUCCUCGAUUUGCAAACAUGAGCAGAAAUGAACUUGAGCUAUUUUUCUUGUAAAUGUCUAUAUUAAAGAAAAACAGCACGUAAACUCAACCAAUCAGAAGCAGCCAAAACACUUAUAAUUAUGUAACUAGGGGCCUUCCAGCUAUAUAGAUCAAAUAAAGCAGCUGUAUUACUAUAACCAAUCAAAUAUUUGUUUUGCUUUACUUGCACAUUUAUCCUAUAAAAACUUCCCUCUUGGGAGGCUGAGGUGGGUGAAUCACCUGAGGUCAAGAGUUUGAGACCCACCUAGCUAACAUGGUGAAACCCCGUUACUAGUAAAAAUACAAAAAAUUAGCCGGGUGUGGUGGCACACACCUGUAAUUCCAACAACUCAGGAUGCUGAAGCAGGAGGGUCACUUGAACCCAGAAGGUGGAGGUUGCAGUGAGCCGAGAUUACGCCAUUGCACUCCAGCUUGGGCAACAAGAACAAAACUCCAUCUCAAAAAACAAAAAACAAAAAAAACCCUCUCUCUUGGAGCUUCUGAGCCGCUUCCAAUUUGGAACUAGUAGAUUCAUGAUUCAUUGUUUGCACAGCUCAACUCUUUCAAAAUGUAUUGUGCCUCAGUUUAUCUUUUUAACAGGUGUCAUAUUUAUAGCUCCAUUUCGUUGAUGAUGACUGUAGACUAGAAAGAGCCUCAUCUGAGGUCAAAAUGUGCUGGACUCUAAAAAGAGCCUCAAAACUGCCCUGAAAUCCAGUUGUUUCACUUAGCCUCGCAUCUUUUAUCAUCAUCCAACUUUAACCAUGAAAGGGUCAAAUGGCUUCUAGAGGCCAUUGAACACAGCAGCCUGAUGAUGUAACAACCUUUUAAAAGAAAUACAAAUAAGCUCAGCUGAAAUGUCUACAAAGUAUCCAACUAAAUGAAUAGCAGAUAGGAUUUUCUGCUUCUAAAAGACAAUGCCUUCUAGAAUAUCAUCACAUUCCAUCACUCAAUAUUUUAUUUAAUCAAAGUUUAUCAGUGCAGACUUUCUGCCAGAUCCUCAGGGUGAAUUCUAAUUACACAGUGUAAUGGGUAUUUACAGAGCAUGACCUUUCUAGAGACUGCCUGCCUGGCUUUGUAUCCUUGCCCAGCAAACCACCAGCUUUGUGUCCGUGCACGUUUACUUCAUCUCUCUGUGCAUCAGAUUUCCCAUCUCUAAAAUGGGAACAAUGAUGGAAUCCACCUCAUUUAAUCCAUGCAAAGUACUUAGAACAGUGCCUGGCACACGUGACUGGUUUAAUGAAUACUAUCUCCUAUAGUAUCAAAGGGGAAAAUGCCUCAGUCAAGAUGAGAGUCAUUGAACAAGAUACGAGUUUGUCUUCAAAAUAGAUAAAAUCAAUUCAGUGGUAUGCAGUGGACCAAGGAUGGAGUUUUAGAGUUAGACGAACUUGAGUUUGCAAGUCAUCUAUGUAACGUCUAGAGACUUAAUGAAUGGCAACUAAAUGAGGCAGCAUGAUAGUCGGAUGUGUGAACUUCAGAGCCAGUCCCGGAUUCCAACCCUCUGCCACUUAAUACCUAUGUGUUUAUGGAAAAGACAUUUACACUUUCUGUACCUCAGUUUCCUCCUCUGAAAUAAUGGAACAAUAAAGCCUAUGGGAGUUGUAGUGAGGGUUAAAUGAGAUGUGUGUAUAGUUCCUGAUAGGUAAUCAAUACUCAGUAAAUUGUAGCAAUCCUGCUAUCAGUCUCUUCCAAAUCACCUAGGUAGUGGCUACCUCCAAAGUCAGAUCUCAUGAGAAAGACAAUUUUAUUAAGUGUUCUAAAAUACAUGUAACAUAAAAUGUGCUACCUUAGCCAUUUUUAUGUGUACAGUUCAGUGGUGUUAAGUCAUUCCCAUUAUUGUGCAGGCCAUGCAACCAUCCACCUUUAGAACUUUUCAUCUUGGAGAACUGAGACUUCUACCCAUUAAACAAUAGUACCCCAUGGCCCUUCCUCCAGCCACUGAAAAAGACACCAUUCCAUUUUCUAUCUUUAUAAAUGUGUCUACUCUAGGUAACCUAUAUAAGUAGACUCAUACAAUAUCUGGGUUUUUGUGACUUAAUUUCACAUAGCAUAAUAUCCUCAAAGUUCAUCCAUGUUGUAGCAUGCAUCAGAAUUUCUUUCCUUCCUAAGGCUGAGUAACAUUUUGCUGUGUGUCUAUAUCACAUCUUGUUUAUCCAUUCUUCUGUCAGUGUAUACUUGGGUUGCUUUCGUGUUUUAGCUACUGUGAGUAGUGCUGUCAUAAAGAUGGAUAUGUAAAUAUCUGUUCAAGACUCUUACAUCAAUUAUUUUGGGUAUAUACCCAGAAGUGGAAUUUCUGGACCAUGUGGUAGCUCCACUUUUCAUUUCUUGAGGACCUACCAUACUGUUUUCCACAGCAGCUGCACCGUUUUGCAAUUCCACUAACAGAGCAGGGGCCAAUCUCUCUGUAUCUUUGCAAACCCUUGUUAUUAUCUGGAGUUUUUUGGUAGUAGCAUCCUUAAGGGUGUGAGCUAAUGUCUCCUUAUAGUUUUAAUUUGCAUUUCUCAAAUGAUUAAUGAUGUUAAGUAUUUUUGUGUGUGCUUAGUGGUCAUUCAUAAACCUUCUUUGGAGAAAUGUCUAUUCAAGUCCUUUGCCCAAUGUUUACUUAGGUUGUUUCUUCUUGCUGUUGUUGAGUUGUAGAAAAAGACAUUUUUAAAAGAUAUUUCAGAGACUUAUUUUGUGAAAAAAAAAUUUUUUCUUUAUUCCUCAGAAAAAUAAAGGGAAUAUUCUUAAUGGAGAGAAAAAUGGGCACUAUAAGGUUAUCUUGUGAUAAGGUACAUAUUUUCCUAGGAAUGGUUUAUACAGAGGCCUCAGGUAAGGGAGCGCAGGGAAGGCCUGCGCCUCUUUCAGUGUAGCUCCAGCCCCAGCUCCAGCACCCUCAGCCUGUAGGGCAGACAAGAGCACUUCUACCUCUUGGGACCUGGCAUCUUAGAGUGUCCACUCAGGCCCCAUUAAAAGUGGUCACCACAAAGUAAAAACAGCCAGUGUCUGUUAAUUUUUGUGCUGCUCUAAUAAAAUACAACAGACAGGGUAAGUUAUACACAAUAGAAAUUUAUUCCUCACGGUGCUGGAGGCUAUGAAGUCCAAGAACAAGGACCUGGCAAGUCAUGUCUGGUGGGGGCUGCCCUCGGCUUCAAAAUGGCACCUCGGAUGUUGUGUCUUCACGUGGCAGAAAGAGGAAGGACAGAAAGGGCCUGGGCUAGUUUCCUAAUCCAUUCGUAAGGGCAGAGCCCUCAAGACUUAUUAGUCACUUCCCUAAAGGCCUUACUUCUUAAGGGAGAUUAAGUUUCAAUAAGAAUUUUGGAGAGGACACACUCAAACCAUAGCAGCGAUUCUCAGAAGGAGACAAAUACUGCAUGAUCCCACCUAUAUAUCUAAAAUAGUCAAACUCAUAGGAACAGAGAGAAGAAUGGUGGUUGCCAGGGGCUGGAGGAGAGGGCAAUGUACAGUUGCUGUUCAAUAGUUACAAGGUUCCAGCCAUGCAAGAUGAAUACCUUCCGGAGAUCUGCUGUACAGCAUUGUCCCUACAGUUAACAACACUACGUUGCGCACUUAAAACCGUAUUCAGAGGGUAGAUCUCAUGUGAAGCAUCCUCACCAUUAUAGUCAUAACGAUAACAUGGUCACCACUGGGGUUCUGGCACCUGGAAUGGCAGCUGGCUUCUGGGUGACUUCAAUGGAAAAGCAUGUUUCAUGGGUGACUGCACUGCUUUCUGAGCCUCCUUCCCCAGGUCACAUCCUCUCUACGGCUUGAAGCACUGAUACUCCACAUGACAUCCUAUCACCUGAGAGAGUGAGCCCUGACACCCUCCCGUCUGAGUGCCCCCCGAUCACUCCUCAGUGAAGACUGAGCUGCAUCUCUAAAUGCAACACUAAAAUCCUGCUUUGCCUGCCCGGUUCAACUCUGAGUAAGGUCAGGAGAAGCAGAAGACAGUUUUUACUAGAACCUGAAAACCUUAGUUCCUUGCGUGCUCUUGCGGCCUGUACUGGGGUUCCAAAACCCAACGCCUCCCUGGCACCAUCUCCUGCCUCCAUCCUUGGGGAACGCCGGAUCUUCCUACUCUGCCUUACCAAUGGGGUAACAUUGAAUUCCCUGCCUUUGGCUUUUUUCACUUAACAUUAUUUAAUUCUACUUUUACUCACAGCCUUCAGCCCUUAAUUCAAUAUCUAUUUACUCAACCACAGGCUGGGUGAACUUGAUAGGAAACAGAAAGGAAGGCCAGAAUGUGAAGGGAUGUGAUGGAUAAAAACCAAUGGAUACCUUUGGUCCCCUUGAUGAGGAUGUGAGGCUGGGGGCCAUCAAAUGUUUAUCAGGAACCUGUGCAAAUAACAUUCCUGUGGUAAUUCCUCCUAAUAUGCAGUGAACUGAUAAUGUUUCAGGCAUUUUAUUUUUAUAUCUGCUCUAAUAACUAAAAACAAUUUUAAAAAGCAAAAUAUCAAGGCCGAAAUAUUUCAAAGAGGUAUUUUUCUUUCACCUCUAGCUUGAAAGUAAAUUGUUACUUUCUAAGCAAGCAAACAAAGGGGCUUUUAUGCAUAUCUGAUUAGCUCAUUUCCUUUGAUUUUGGCGAGUGAUGUCAUUUAGGCCCAGCUGUUGGUAUGCUGCAAAUGAUUUCCCUUCCUCGUGUUUCAGCGACUCAUUUCUGCCCCUAAUGCAAUUAGUUUGACUAGAACCCAGCAUUUUUCAUGGUUCACCUCUCCUAUCAGCUGAUACCCAGAACUCCUCUGGAAAGAACGAGGAAAGGCCACAAAGGCAUUUAAAUGCCUAGCAAGCAAUAAUUUCACCUAGACGCUAAUCAAGCAGUUGUCUUUUUGAGGUCUCUUUCCAACGCCUUAGCUCCUCAAUUCAUCCAGUAAAAUAACAGUCAGAGUCUGAGGUAGUUGAAAGAGUCUAACUUAAAGGGCCCUGGGUUUUGGGGAACAUGUCUGGCUUGCCCCAUUCUGUCCCAUUUGCUUACAGCAAAGCUGAUAUAUUAAUGCAACAGGGAAGGUAGCAGAGCCCUAGAAAGAACAAGUUGGCACAAAGGAGUGGUCCCUUUCAGUUCUCCAGACUCAAGUCCACAUUUGAAUGCCACACCCUGCUAGCAAAGUGUCUGGGCAUCUCUAUACCCCAGUUUCCUACUAGUGAAAAGAAGCUACUAAAAGUAAGCACAGAUAGUGGGAGAGGCUGUGAGUAUGUGGGAAUCAGGGCUAUAUGAGAAAACUGUGUACAUUUGCUCAGUUUUUCUGUGAACCGAAAGGUUCUCCAAAAAAUAAAAUAAUCUACCUUUAAAAAUAAAGCAACAGAAGGACAGAGGGUUGCUGUGAAAACAAGCCCUCAAGGUGCUUAGAACCCUGCAUAGAAGUCAUUAUGACGUGCUGCUUCUAAACUGGUUAUUAGGUGUUGGCUCAGGGAGUUCUCUGCUAGGUCAGCGCUUUUCAGCCUUGACAUUUGGGCCAUUUAAUUUUCUUGGGAAUGGGGAUGUCUUGUGAACUGUAGGAUGCUCAGCAGUAUCCUAGCAUCCCUGGUCUCUCUACUCACUGGAUGCCAGGAGCAACUCCAACACCCUCCCAACCAGUAGUGAAAACUAAAGAUAUCUCCAGACGUUGCCAGAUGUCUCCUGAGGGGUACAAUUGCCCUUGGUUGACAAUCGCUGUGCUAGGUUAAAAGAAAAACAAUAACCAGUGCACUCAAUGGCUCUACUGAAUAGAAACACUUCAUGGUCUAGGUGAUGCUGAUACUUCUAACUUUGAGAUCUUACUGGAAGAGCCUGCCAGAGAGUGGUUAAAACCCGGAAGAGCCUGGAAGAGCCCGGACUUCAGAACUGGAAAACGCUGAGUUUGAGCUCCUGUUUCACCACCUUAGGGGAGUGAUUCAACUUUGGUCAUGAUCGAAACAUUUUCUGAUUGAAUAAAUGGGAGAACACUGAAGUGAUAGAUCUCUAUGAGAAACAACCUUUUGAUAAGUCAAAAUCUAAUGUGACACUGAUCCUAAACACUGACUCAGCUCUCAUCCCCAUUGAAUCCUUUGAAAAUAAAAUACGUCGUGUUUCCUAAAGUAGCAUCCUUCUUUGAUCCACCAUGCUGGGGCAUGUUUUUCCACUGAGGACAUUGCCAUAGAUAGAGCGACAGAGAUGCAACAUAUCAUGUGGCCCGCAGAGGUGAAAAUGAUUUGUGUUUAAGGAUGUUGCUGCCUACUUCCAUUACUUUAAGGUCCCAAGGCUAAUGGAAGCAAUUUGUAUACCAACCCAAACUGACUGGCCCACUUUUCAAAAUACAGAGAUGGAAGUCUCGCUCUGUCACCAAAGCUGGAAAGCAGUGAUGUGAUCUCGGCUCACUGCAACCUCUGCCUCCCGGGUUCUAGCAAUUCUCCUGCUUCAGCCUCCUGAAUAGCUGGGAUUACAGGUUUGGCUGGUAUUUUCUAGAAGAUGUGCAGUGAGAGGUCACUGAGAGAAGUGGAGCACCUCUUCAUGAACAGACCCCUUUCUUGCCCUGCAGGGCGACACUCUUUCUAACAUGAGAAGUAGGUGAACUUCCAAUAAUUAGGAAAAACUGCUCUCUAAUUGUAAUGAAGUUGAUGAGAAAACCUGCCCCUGUUAUUGUGUGUGAUGUGCUCUGAACAGGAUGCCCUUCCAGGAGUCUUAGAGACCCAAAUUUGAUCCAAGUUGAAAACUAAAAUUAUUAAAUCCCUCGAUCAAACAGAAGUUUAAUGUACACAAUUUUUUUUUUUUGACGUUUCAAUCUUUUUCAUUCUGGGCAUUUUUUUAUUUGAAUCAUUUAUGAUUAGGUUUCAAAGCCAAAUUUUCUCCUUUAAAUGAGAAGAGAAGAAUGAUUUCCACUGUGUAAUGGAUGAUGGCGUUUAAAUACUGGAGACCAACAUAUUCUGUCUUUCUUAACAUUUAAGCAUACAUCCAUAAUUCUCUUUCCUACUGUCAUGGUUUCUGAUGUAACAAGAGUAAUAUUACUUCUAUAAUUGUGCUUCAGAUUUCUUCCCAAAGAGUUUUGACAUUAGCUGUUAUCGAGGGGGUAAAAUCACCCAGCCUGUCUGAUAACCAUGUUGCCUUAUAUCCCCACCCCAGCAAGUGCUGUGACACUGUACUUUUAUCAUCCAGUGUGUGUUCAGAAUGAGCUUAGAACAGCAAUUGCCGGGAAUAGGCAGGCGAUAAACCGCAUUGAUUUAACACAUCUUGUUUUCAAUCAUGCUUGGAUUUUCUGAGCACGCAUUUUUCCUGUACUCUGGCUUGUAGCUUUUAUCUGACGAGCUGAUCCCUUUUCACUGGAAAAUGAAAAGGUCGCACAAUAAGACACGGUUUACUGGAACUUGAACACGCACCAGGGAAAGUAUUUUAGAUAAAUACUGUCAGACAUAGUGGAGCUGAAUUUCAACAACACAAUUGCUAAACAACAAUACUUAUUACUCUCCUAGAACAAGCCUACCAGCGACUUAUGGCUCUCAGCAGGGGACAGCACCGAGUCAGGCUCCAAGGCAAAGAAACGCUUCUCUGAGCCUUACGCUAACCAAACGCGGAGUUCUGGGCUCAAGUCCCACUUGUGAUUGUUAAUAUCAUGGUUUUAUGAGACAACUCAGAAAAUGACUCCCACUGUUCACAGAGUCAUUUCCUCCAAACCAGUGGACAGGUUUCAGGAGACUUGUAAUGAAGUUACAACAGAGCUCUGCAGACGGUCAGAUUGGGAAGGAAAAAACAAAUCUCAAGAAUAGUGAUAAAAAAGUGACGCCAAAUCAUCCAUUAAUUCCACUAAUAAGACAGGAAAGUACUUGUAACUGGAAGACCUCAGAAGAUUAAGUAAUUAUUUGGUAACAUUUUAAUGGAAUUAAAGAGAACUUCUAACAAGUACGCCAAGUGGACAGCUACAGUGGCCUUACUGAUAAGCCUGCAAGUUUUUAUCAGCCAAAAUUCCAACUUAAAUAGCAUCUUGAUUUAAAAAUAAAUGAAGUCAGCCUUCUUCAGUAUUGACCCAAGCUAAGUGAUUAUUUUUGCUGAGCAUCUUGAUCCUAAGAAGUCUCCUCCCCCUAUUAUAGUCUAGAACCAUUUUCUUUUAACGCACAUUUUGCUUACACAUUUAUUCAUUGUCUGUUUCAGGGCUCCUCAAACUGUCUCUGUUCACAGUACCCUGAAUAUCUCAGCAAUCCCUUCAGAGCAUCCCUAAGCCAAAAGAAAUGCCCAGCAGUUCUGUUUAUUAGCUACUCAGUUGCAAACAGCUUAACCUUUAUGUUCCAGCAACUCAGUAGGACAUAAAUAUUUGAAAAAAACAAUAUAAAGAAAUUGACAGAAAAAUAUAACAUUUUAUUUCAUUUAAAAAUAACCACAAUUUGCUAAUGAAAUGUGUGUUCCUGUUGGGCACCAUACAACUUUGCAUACCUCGGAAUCAGACUGAACACUGCCACCCUCGUUUUCUAUUCCAUUUUGGUUUUCACAUGGCACUUCCUUUUAACCACAGUAACUGCUGAAGACCAGCUUUGCAGAGGUAUCACACCAUCAAAAGGAUGGGACAGUGGAUCACGCCUAUAAUCUUAGCACAUUAGGAGGCUGAGGGAGGAGGAUAGCUGCAGCCCAGGAGUUGGAAAGCAGCCCGGUCAAUAGAGUGAAACCCUGUGUCUACAAAAGAUUAAAAAAUCUGCCAAGUAUGGUGGUGCACAACUGUGGUACCAGCUACUUGGGAGGCUGAAGUGAGUGGGAGAAUAGCGCGGAGGAUGAAACCACAGUGAGCCAUGAUUUCACCACUGCACUCCAUGGGUGACAGAGCAAGACCCUGUCUAAAAAAAAAAAAAAAAAAAAAAGAUACAGUAUAAUGUAAUAUUGAAUUUGGAACUACCUUAAACUAGCAGUUUACACAGUAUCUGAUGUACUUAAAGUAUCACUGUUUCCCUCAAGUUUAAAAUAUCUCAUAGCAUCCCAAGGAGCUUGUAGGGACACCUUAGUCGAUGUUUAGAAAACAUGGAUUCACUCAGAAGCGUCAAAUUAAUCAAAUGCUAAGUGCUACAAUGAAUUCCAUUCAUUCAUGUGUAUCUUUUCCUCUUUUAAUAAUUACAACAGCAGCAGCAGCAGCAACUCACACUUCCUAAGGACUUACUGUGUGCCAAGCACUUUAUAUGAACUAACCUAUCCUUCACAACAACUCUACAAGGAGGUGCUAUCUUUAUUCCCAUUAGACAGAGAAGAAAACUGAGGCUUGGGGACUUAAUACUUUGCCUAAAUCCACAGAGCUAAUGAAUGAAGGGGCUGGCAUUCAAACCCAGGCAGUCUGCCUUGAGAGCCCUACUCUGAAUAGAUUAGCUCUAAUAGAUUAGAGCAGCCAAGUUAGGCCACCAAGGGGUCUUCAGAGCAGAUCUCUAAUAAUUUUGGCUUCCAGGACUUUUCUGACGCUACUUUUGCUCUUCAUAUAACCUUUUAUCUACAAUCUGUCUUAGUCCAUUCCUUUGUCUCAAUUUAUAUUCCAUGAAAACACUCCAGACCGCGUUUGACUUCCAUUUUCCUAAUAACCACUCUUCUUCCCUUUGUCCCAAUCCUUUUGGAGUAAGACUCGGCUAGAUUGCAGCCAGGCUACAUCAUUGAUUGGAUAUAUGUGCCUUUUGGAAAAGUCACUUUCAUUCUUUAAGUCUUCCUCAACUGUAAAGUGAAGAUUUAAUGUGCUGUUAUUUGUACAGUGAUUAGCACAUAAAUACUCAACAGGCAGUUGUUAUUACUAUUAAUAGUAUACAAGCCAUGUGCUGGAAACAGGGGCAGGUGCAGUGAAUACAAGACUAAUUAGACAUAUUUACAUAUUUCCCACUCUCAAGGAACACAAGUCUAGAGGGGCAGAAAGACACAAACAGAAUUCUGAAACAGUGUGGCAAAUACAACAGCAGGAAGACUCGGGAUUCUAGAACAUCGGGUGUGUUUCACUUGUCCCUGGGGGUCAACCUUCUCCCUCUCCUUUACACUAACUGGGAAUUACAAUUCAAACAAUUCUACCACCUCUGGUUCUCAAAUAUUACCCUGAAAUUGAGCUCUAUCUGGAAUAGGACACAACCAUUUUAAGUUCUGUGAACAUAGAGGGGGGAAAAACAGGUAGGAGAUACCUAAUUAAGACUGGAUUCAUUUCCAGACUUGAGAUGUUUUGUACUGUUUAAUUAACUAAAUAAAACUGCAGGCUUGCUGUAUACAAGGCCCUGUGCUUAAGAAGGUGAAAAGAAAAAGAUGUACAACACCCAAGUCCAGUGCCCUGUGCAUCCCCAGCUGGAAAUGAUUCCAUCCAAAAAACUCUUCUAGGCACUGUGCCAUACCCUUGAGGAGAACAUAAUCCAGUGGGGAGACAGGCCUGCAAUUGGCUACCCCAAAAGAUACAGAACGGUAGCAUUAUUAAUGUACAAUAGCACUGCACAAAAGGAGGAAAAACUAAUUGCUGUAAUCGAGUCAGGGAAAUUUUUAGCUCAAAUAUCUGAGUUGGGUGUGGAAAGAUAAAUAGGAUUUUUCUACUGAAAAGGACAGGAAAAGCAUUUCAGCCAAUGGGAGCAGAAGGAACAACGGGAAAGAGAUAUACAAAGGAUGUAUCCAAGUAGGGUUGAUGUUCCAGCUUGGGGAGAGCAUAGCUGAACAGGUUGAGAGUGCAGUGUUAAACGCUGACCAUGAGUAACAGUAUUGGCCUUGGUGCCCUGCUAAGAGCAGGUAGGCAACGAGGAGUCUUUUAAGAUUUUCCAGACCGUAGGAGCAGCAUGAUCUGAUCUACAUUUUAAAGAGCCAUAGAAGUAAAAUGAAGGUUGGCUCUUAAAGGCAGCAUUAUAGCAAUAAUCCAAAUGGAAAAUAAAAGACCAACUAAUGAUGGGGUGGUCAUGGAGGAAAAAGUAGAUUUCAGAGAUAUUGUAGAAUAAAAUCUACAUGACUUCAGUAAUAUGCCAGAUAUAAGAGGAUAGGAAGAAUGGGGGAUGGCUGACAUUUCUAAUUUAUCUGACUAAGUGGAAACAGUGGCCAUUUUGUGGAAAGAAAACUAUUUAUGGGAGGGAAAAUAAUCAUGAGUUCAAUUUCAGACAUGCUGGAAUUUAGGUGCCAGAAAAAAAACCAGGUAAAAUAUUUAGUAGACAGUUGAGAAUAAAGAACAAAAGUUCAGGCUGGGCACGGUGGCUCAUCCCUGUAAUCCCACCAUUUUGGGAGGCUAAGGCAGGUGGAUCACUUGAGGUCAGGAGUUCAAAACCAGUUUGGCUAACAUGGUGAAACCCAUCUCUACUAAAAAUAAAAAAAUUAACCGGGCAUAGUGGUGCAUGCUUAUAGUCCCAGCUACUUGGGAGGCUGAGGCAGGAGAAUCACUUGAACCUAGGAGGUGGAGGUAGCAAUGAGCAGAGAUCAUGCCACUGCACUCCAGCCUGGAUGACAGGAUGAGACAUCAUCCCAGGGGGGAAAAAAAAAAAAAAAAAAACAGAAGCUCAGGAAAAAGAUCAGUGAUGGAGUUAAUGCUAUGGGGAACAACAAGACACAGGUCAUAGCAAAAACCACAUGUGAAAAGAGGACCCAGGACAGACAAUGUGACGGGGACCACAAGCAGAUAAGCAAUGGUUACAGAAAGAUUGAGAGACAAGCCAAAUGCAGGUCACAAAGGUAGAGGGAAUACCAGGAGGGAAUAAUGUCACUGAACUCAAAUCAAACAAGGAACUCAAAAUAUAAGGGGCUGUCAACACCAUGUAGUGUAGUCAAGUAACCAACCAGGAGAGGUCUGAGGAGAGGCUGUAAAUGUAAGUAAAUUUGUAAAUUACUAUAUUUGGAAGUUGUAAAUGUUAUACUAAGAUCAUUAGCAUAAAUGGCAAGCAGUUUCAGAAAACGUGGGGGUGUUUUAACCCUAAAGCUCUGGUUUUCUUCAGUCUCACUCAAUAACUCCCAGUCAAAAGAUACGAACCUAAGUGAGUAAGUGGGGUUGGCAAACUUGUUUGCCCAGUUGUAGCUUAGCUUACCAUAAGAGCUAUACAAGAGAGCGUAAAUGACACUCAGUCCCAGUCCUAAAGAAAAGUGUAGAACUUCAGAUGCCCCGAGAGAAAAGCUAUGACAUUCACGUGACACAACUAUGAUGAUGAACCUCGAGUCGACUUUUAGAUUUGGUUAAUUCCCGUUAGUAUAUUUAGAGGAGUGAAGAUGAGGGGAUUUCCAUGGCUCUUGAUGUUUUCUGCUCCCACUUUUGAUGCCUGUCUUUUAAGAAGUGGACGGAACUAAGUAAAUGACUUAUGGUACCCAAUGAAGUUCUACUUCUUCUACCCUGGAUUUGGACUUAUGAUCUGUCUCCUUUCCACAAAAUAUUGACAAAACACAAUGUAUAUGUAACUAGAAUUUAAUCUUCCCCUUUGGAUGUUGGUGGUCUUAAUAUUGAUCCCCAGCGUCUUAUAAUCAAUAGAUGUUUAGUUAAGCAGUUCACUUGUUUUGGAGUAACAGUUAUAGUGUGGGCAAUGGGUAUGUGGCCACUUCCGCAAUAACCCCAGGUCUCCUGACAGAGUGAACGUUACAAUCACAUAUUUGUUGCUAUUAGCUCAUAAGAUGGUGGAAACCAAUUUUGAAAAGCAAGUAAUAAAGCACCACAUAAAAAAUAAUGGUGUAAUUACUUCUUGGUCAGGUAAUACCUACUGUGAUAUAAAAACCAAAGGGAGCACCAAGCGUCGUAAGCGGGUUUGCUGUAAAUCUGACACUGGUUCUGACCUUCAGCAAGGAAAAGCUCUGAACCCACCCAUCUAAGCCAGGUACACAGAAGACUCUUUGUGGCACGUGUCUUUACCAAGUCUCUGUGUAAAAGCAUUUUAAUGAAUUUAUUUCAUUAGUGCCUCUGUCAAUUCUCAGGAGCUGAAGAGACUGCUCCAGUUGCUACAUUACCGACCCAAAGGCUUUCAUAAUCUCAUUUGAAUUUAGGCCCCAAGGAAAGGGGUCUGUGAACUGCAUUAGGAAGUAAUUGUCAUGUGGAUAUAGUUCGUUGUCUAAAUGUAGAGGACAACGAAGGAGGGUGGGGGUUCUAAUGGAACAUGGACCACACUGUCCAGGAGAAAGUGGAGAUAAUGCUGGCUGUUGCUGUUGAUCACAAGCAAACACCGUGGUAAUCCACUAACCUAAGCAGAAGAAACCAAUUAGCCUCCACCUUCAGGCCCUGAUUCUUUUUUUCACAUUUCAUCCCAGGUGCUCGAGAGGCUUUCCUAAUUCACAUGGAUAAUGUGGGUGGGUGCAGGGAGUGAGAGAGAGAAUUAGCCAAAGUUAUUCCCUGAACUUUUAAGGAUAGGAUAGCACAGUCCAUAUUUAAGGACAUCAUGAUGAAGUUUUUAUUACUACUCCUCUGGCUUAUUUCCAGCUUGGGGGAAGACUCGUGGUUAAUAUUUCUGUUUAGCUUGUCUAAGCUGAAAAUGGUUCUCCUAAGGUACAUGCAUCAUUAGAAGCUUUCAUGACAGGAUGCUAUUAGAGCACAGCAUUUGUCACAGCACAGGAUGAAGCAAAAGUAGGGUAGCUUUCACUAAUAAAAGUGACAAAACGUUAAAUUCUCAAUGGCAGCAACUUGAAUGGAGACAUGAGAAUUCUUAUACCCUGAUGGUUGGUUAGAAUUGGGUACAAGCUUUCUGGAAAGCAAAUUGGCUAUUUUAGAUGGGGAGGAUGAAAUACUUUUAAGCUUACAGACUGAAGCUUUAUUAAAUUCAGAGGCAUCUCCAAAAGUAGGCCUAGUAGCCACAAAAACUAUUUUUCCAAGUGGGCAAAGGCCUUUGUAAAUGCCAUCUAGUGUUACAAGAAGCCUUGUUCUUGCUAAGAUUACUCUGGACCUCUUUUUCCUUCUAACUGGAAUUAGAGGCUUAAGUUUCCCAAACUGAAUCUUGCAUUUCUCUCUAUAUUGAUGGGUGCAAUGGUCCUGCUUAAAACCAACAAGGAAAAAAAAGUGACCCUCCUUCUACACUCUCUCUCUAAUCUUCCUGGUCCUAUUGAAGCCUGGUGAAUUUAGAGGAAAUAAAAAUAGUAUUUAGCUCCAUCUGUUGAAUUCACUUUGCCUGAGGCCAGCAUGUCAGAUAUUGUUGCUGGCUUUUUCAGAGGGCUGGGAUAUAUCUGCAGGGCAGGGAUCAGCUUGAUAAACUGCUGACUUAUUCUCAAAUGGAAAAUUUUUGUGAUUCUAUUGGGACAAUAGGUACUGUGACCCUAUAAGGGCAAAAUCAAACAUACUGGAUUGCAUUUUUCAAAAGCUACCAAAACAACUUUUAGAUACAAGUACAUUCUGCGAAGUCUCCCUUCUAACUCUAGAAUUAACAGGCUGAUCUUCAUGUGGUCAGGUGGAGAGGCAAAGGCACAUCUAUCCACUCAAUCCACUUCAGAACUUUAUUGCUUCAAAAAUCUUCCUUCAGCAAACACAACCAGGCUUGGAAAGCCUAAGUGAUCAGUACAAGAUCAACAACUAGUCAAAAGCUGAAUCACAACUAAAACUCAAACGUUGGACCUGAAGCCACCCCAGGUCCUCUGCACCAUUUCUUCAUGUAAGCCUGACUUAAAAUAAAUAGGAUCAUUUGUUAAGAAGUGGUUCUGAGCAUUUCACUUUUGCAAACUUAUUUUUUUUUCCUUCAGAUACCUCAAGAGGUAGAUGUCCCUAUUUCACGGAUGAGAAAAUUGUGGCUGCUGGUCUUGGGUGAAGGACUGGUAGCCAAAGAAAAGAAAUGUGAUUGAAUUAUACCUAUGGAAAAAGACAACAUCAAAUCUGUCAUUCAGACGACAUCUUCCUAUACAUGAUCUCCCUCCUAUUACUGCUGAUCAUUUCAAAGCCAUUUUGUAAAACAAACACCAACUAAAAGGAAGACAACAAAGUUCCUAAAAUCAACAUACUAUGAUUUUACCUACAUUCUUGUUACAGAAAUGAAAUAAGGAUAGUAGUUCAUAGUAACUGAUGUACAGUGACCAUGUGCCAGCGACUGUGCUAGCCACUAUAUUACAAAUCGAUUCUUAGCUGCCUCUGUGAAAUCUGUCCUGUUAUUUUAUAUUUUACAGGAGGAAGACCCUGAGGAUGACAGAGAGGUGACAGCUUACCCAAGUUUCACAUCAGUAAAAGCUGAACCAGGAUUCAAACUUGGGCAUGCUGUCACUAUUGUCCCCCCGACUCCUCUAGAAUGGACUGCCCCUGUGGAAGCAUUUAGCUAAUACAUUGGAAGCAAUGGUGUUAUCUUUCCCUUCAGGGCAAUGUAGAAAACAAAUAGUAAAAGACGCCUACAGCAAAAAUAUCUGUCUUCGACUUGAAAAACAUAAAUGUAUAUCCACAUAGGCUAUAUAAAGACUUAACAAGACAGAAGUUUUAAAAGGGAAACUUGCCAGAAUGGAUCGCGCUUAAGUACAAAACCAGUUUCUGCGAGGCGUGUAGUGGUGAUGUCACCAAAAAGAUGGGAAAUGACACUUCUCCAUUAUCAUCUUCCAGCUUGUUUAAUCUCACCUGGCAAGUUUUCCCUCAUCAAGUAGGUUGAAAAUGGUUAUGGAAUCCAGAGGCAGCUCCGGAUAACACGGGUGGGAUUCUGAUAUGCCUUCUUCAUUAACUGCUCAUACCCCAGAAAUGAGAAUAAAGCUGCUCCUCCUGGGGAGUCUUUUAACUGAAAAACUAAUCUUAACUGAAUGCACACAUCAGUUAACUAUCUUCAGAUUCACAAACCAUUAAUGCCCCAUUUUCACAGAGUGUCUUCUCUUCUUUCUGGCUUGUCUGAAGGCUGGCACUCUCAGGGCUGUGCUUAGAGGAAUGUGAGAUUCAGCAGGAAUAUGGAGGGGACAGGAGAGAAAAGAAGAGAGCUAUUAAGUGCUCAUCUUCACAACCAAACGACUGUUCUGGGGCUGAGCAGCAAGAGCAUCAAAUAAUGCUGCCCUUGCAUAAUCGACAUCCUCCCAUCGCCGCUCCGAGUCAGUGGCAAAGGAAUCACAAAUAAUGCCAUUCUGCCCUCUGAAUACCAGUUAAGCAGCCUUCAAAUAUGCCUACUGAGGGAAGACGAGGCUUGCAAAUAGAGCCUUGCAGAUGUAAAAGGAUGGUAAUGAUAAAAGGAGGGGAGAAGAAAACAAAUUGCAGAUUUCUCUCUUGAAAUACUUGGCCUGUUUGAAAGUUCCACUUUGUCUCUCCAGAGCAGAAAAACCUAAGCAGGAAUUUGAGAUGUGUCCCCAAAGCAAUCUUGUCGAGUUGUAACCCAUAGCAUGGCAAUUCCCUGUGCAAGAGGGCCAGAUUGACUGCCCUUCUAUGCCAGGAGAAGAAAGCUGCUUUAUUUUAUUUUUUUGAGAUGGAAUCUCACUCUGUCACCCAGGCUGCAGUGUAGUGGCACGACCUCCACUCACUGCAACCUCUGCUCUCUGGUUCAAGUGAUUCCCCUGCCUCAGCCUCCUGAGUAUCUGAGAUUACAGGUGUGCACCACCAUGCCUGGCUAAUUUUUGUAUAUUUAGUAGAAAUGGGGUUUUACCAUGUUGGUCAGGCUGUUCUCGAACUCCUGACCUUGUCAUCUGCCCACCUAGACCUCUCUAAGUGCUGAGAUUACAGGCAUGAGCCACUGCAUGCAGCCAAAGCAAGCUUCUUGUGGAAGCACAUACCUCUUCCUAUGUAGCCUCUUAAAGUCACAAGGGUACAAGAUUAUGUAUCUCUGCUGAUGAAGACAUCAUUUACAAUUGGACUUUGUGAAAGACAGAAACAUAUUUAAGUUCUUUCUGAAUUUGGAACUAGAUGGGUCCUAUCAAAAACAAUUUUCUAAUUGUCACUAAAAUAUAGGAAACCAUGAAGAAGAUCCACCUCCCCAAAUAUGAAAUGCCAUCUUUUUAGAUUUACUGCUUUUGGCUUGGAAAUAAACUCAGAAUCUAAUAGUGUUCCCCUUGGCCAAAAUUCUAAAACCAACAGUGACUAGAAUCCUAUAAACACAGAAAGAGAUUCCUAACUCACUAUAUUCCUGGCCUUGAAACUUUGCUGUGGAAAGCACCACCAAAUCAGGCCACUUGAGUCUAGGAUCACCCACACCACAGUGAAGUCAGCACUUGGUAGAAAACUGUGAAAGUGGGCUCUAGCAUACCUCUUAGCAAUGCCAUUAGUUGUGACAUAGUCAAUAAGCUCCCAUAGAGUUUAGGUUUUGGGAAAAACAGGUAUAGUGUUAUAUUACAUGAGGGAGAUAGAUACACAAUGAAUAACAGCAGUGAUGAGUUUCCUUUACAUAGCAGGAGUAUUUUCCUGGCUGUGGGAUUUAGCAUAUCAACAAAAGAGGUUGGCCAUGCCACUUCUCAGAGUUUCAUUAGCCUGCUAGAACAUUUAGAGGUCUGCGCAAGGUAAACUAACUCUCCCAUGUUUGUACUGAAGUGGAGGUACCAUAGACAGGUCCCAUUCUGAGUACUGAAUUAUCUUGUCUUAUGAUGACAUCAACACUGAAACGACAGAGAGCGUCUUUUGUAGUCAACAAUAUGGGACACUGGAUUUUUAUCUCCCUUUGGACAAUGAGAUUGUGGUUAGUACACUGGUGAAUCUAACAUCAAUGCUCUAUGAAAAAUUGUUUUAUGAAGGCUAGAGAGAGGAUGGAGAGGGAGGUACACCCAGUUAUAGAUACAUAAACACUGAAAGAGAAACUGAAAUCAAUUCUGCAAACAGUAGAAGUCAAAGCAUUGUAGUUGUCAUUAAGCAUCUACCAUUUUAAUAUUCAAAUAAGAUAUUUCCUGAAAUAUCAGAUCAAUUCUUAAAGGAGAGCUGCUCCCAGUGGGGUUUACUUGUGGUCCUCUGUCUGACAUCCAUUAGGCAGGCUCCUUGUCUUUAGCAGCAUGGGUUCAAACAAAUGAUAAGAGAGGAAAUAGAUUCCAUUCUCUCUGUUUACUUUAUUACUAUUGAUUUCUGAAUUCCCUCCGAUCUAUUUCCUAACUGAGCAGAUAAUAUACAUUUAGUACCAAAGGUAAUUAUCCAAAAUGAAUCUAGUUUGCAACGGGGUGAUAAAAAAUUGAGAAGACACUGAUAGAUUAAAUACUUAUCAUUAAAAAGUAGAGCUGAUUGUAUUAAUAUACAUACAAGAGCUUUAAUAUUCUCACUUUAUGGCUAGAUAUGAUUUUCUAGGCUAAUCAUGAGUUCAUGUGUACACUCGGACAGAUUUUAUGUCUACUCUAUAUUUUAUAGCAUUAUUUUAUAUUGCAAAUAAUAAAAGCAUUAUAGGAAAAAAUCAAUUCAAAAAAAAUUUUAAUCUACCUUUUGCAAAAAAAAAAAAAAAGAAUCAUUUGGGCAUUAAAAAAAAAAAUCUUCAAAAAGGGCUAGAACAUUUAGUUACCACAAAUUACAAUGGUUUUUAAAGCAUCAAAGUUAGAGAAAAGAACAAAGAUUGUGUUAUUAUGAAAGCAUGUAAAUAAAUACAGUAAAUCCACAUUGUGGGAGAUGAUGCAGCAUUUUAACAUUAUGUUUAUGAAGAAAUUUUAAUGCGUGGGAAAAUGCUUAUUAGGCUAUGUGAAAAAACAGGAUCUAAAACUGUGUAUGUGUAAACACACAAUAUAAGCACAAAUAUGAAGUAUAUGUUAAUAUCUAUUUGUUACAUAUAGAAAAAUAUAAAAGAAAUAUAUGAAAAUGUUUUUAGUGGUUACCUCUGGGUAAUGGGUAUUGGAUGAUUUUAACUCUUGAAAUUCUGUCCUAGUUUCUCUAAAUUUUCUAAAUCAGCACAUAUUAUUUUUAUAUCUAAGUAAGUAUUAGAGAGAUGGGUGAAUGAACCACUUGGAUUGAAUGGAGGGUAGGACACAAGUUUCAUUUGCCCCUGGCUCAUAAUGACCUGAGGGCCUUCACAUGCCAGGGACUCCUAUACUGAUGCCUCUUUGGAAAUGUGUCCACCUGCAGGCAGAGUAAGCUUGAAUUCUGCAGACUCCUACCAGAUAUGUUCAAGCAUCAUAUACUCAGGGAUCAUCACACUUUUAAAAGACAUAUGUAGUUAUCGAAAUAUUGAAGUACUGAGGAAAGAGUACAAUGGAGCACUUAAGAGAAUGAAUUCUGGAGUCAGAUCGUCUGGCUAGGCUCCUCCACCCACUAUUUGAGUAAUUCUGGCAAAUGACAUAAUCUAUGUGUCAGUUUCCUUACCUGUUCAACCAGGACAGUCAAGUGCCUUCCUUACAGAGAUGUUAGGGGAGUCAGUGGGCUUAACUAUUUGUAAAACACUUAGAAGACUGUGUUACACAAUGAGUACUUAUCCAUUACAUGAAUACAUUUAAAAAAUUCUGAUACACUGAUCAGAAUCAACUUACAAAUGAAUAAAUGGACAUGGUCAAGAUAUUUAGAAAACAUUUGAGCUUUUGUAAAUUCCUGAGGCAAGGUACAAUUUCUGUUCAGCUUAAGUCGAGACGCAAGAUUGUAGUGGUUUUAGAUGGUUUCUAUGUACUGCCAAAGAUCUGUCCAUCCAUACAUUUCUAUCCAGAAUGAUGUUGAUAAUGUUAAAUUUCAAUGGAAUAAUUACUAUGUACUAUAUGUAGGGUUUUGUUACCCACUCUAUAUUUAGAUUGUAAUAGAUGUGAAACUAAAUAGGUAUUCAAUAAAUGUUUACUGAAUGAAAGCACAAAUGAAUGACUUCACCACAGCUGCAUCGAGUUGUCUAAAUAUGAGCAUAUUUCCACAAAGGAUCCAUUGUUAAAUGAACUUUCCUUCUUAUUAAGAACUAGGAUUGAAGUAUCAAAUUUCCUAGAAUCUAAAACUUUUUACUGUUAUGACUUGGAAACAAUUGGAUGGCAAGAUUAAAAGGGGAAAAUUUAUUUAUUCCAAGAUUUAAAAAAAUCACAGCUUAGGACUUGAAUGUCUUCACGGAUCCAUUUCUUAAGAAAUCGAUAAGGAUGCAGAAAGCUUUACAAGAGAAGAUACCAAGACAGCAAUGGCAGUACCAAUAAACAGAAAUAGAUAGUUCCUCUCACUAGUUCUGUGGUUUUCUCCUACCCCGUAGAGCGUGACAAGAGAAUGUUAAAAUAACUGAAAUCAAGAACAAUACUGGAAUUAAGAAAAGUCUACAAUGGCAAAUUUUUACUGUAACAAAUUUCAUUACUGAGUGAGGGAGGAAAACAACUGUUUUUAGAUACUAUCCAUUGUUUUCUUUUUUUUUUUUUUUUUGAGACAGUUUUGCUCCUUACCCAGGCUGGAGUG